rnacentral:rRNA from 1 species
GAUGAACGCUGGCGGCGUGCCUAAUACAUGCAAGUCGAGCGAACAGACGAGGAGCUUGCUCCUCUGACGUUAGCGGCGGACGGGUGAGUAACAAGUGGAUAACCUACCUAUAAGACUGGGAUAACUACGGGAAACAGGAGCUAAUACCGGAUAAUAUAUUGAACCGCAUGGAUCAAUAGUGAAAGACGGUUUUGCUGUCACUUAUAGAUGGAUCCGCGCCGCAUUAGCUAGUUGGUAAGGUAACGGCUUACCAAGGCAACGAUGCGUAGCCGACCUGAGAGGGUGAUCGGCCACACUGGAACUGAGACACGGUCCAGACUCCUACGGGAGGCAGCAGUAGGGAAUCUUCCGCAAUGGGCGAAAGCCUGACGGAGCAACGCCGCGUGAGUGAUGAAGGUCUUCGGAUCGUAAAGCUCUGUUAUUAGGGAAGAACAAAUGUGUAAGUAACUAUGCACGUCUUGACGGUACCUAAUCAGAAAGCCACGGCUAACUACGUG